rnacentral:rRNA from 1 species
GACGAACGCUGGCGGCGUGCCUAAUACAUGCAAGUAGAACGCUGAAGGAGGAGCUUGCUUCUCUGGAUGAGUUGCGAACGGGUGAGUAACGCGUAGGUAACCUGCCUGGUAGCGGGGGAUAACUAUUGGAAACGAUAGCUAAUACCGCAUAACAGUAGAUAUCGCAUGAUAUCUACUUGAAAGUUGCAAUUGCAUCACUACCAGAUGGACCUGCGUUGUAUUAGCUAGUUGGUGAGGUAACGGCUCACCAAGGCGACGAUACAUAGCCGACCUGAGAGGGUGAUCGGCCACACUGGGACUGAGACACGGCCCAGACUCCUACGGGAGGCAGCAGGAGGGAAUCUUCGGCAAUGGACGGAAGUCUGACCGAGCAACGCCGCGUGAGUGAAGAAGGUUGUCGGAUCGUAAAGCUCUGUUGUAAGAGAAGAACGAGUGUGAGAGUGGAAAGUUCACACUGUGACGGUAUCUUACCAGAAAGGGACGGCUAACUACGUG